rnacentral:lncRNA from 1 species
CUGGCUCCUGCUCUGUUCAUGAAAAGAAUGUAAUGGAAAGAAUAUGUGUAAAGGAUAAUGCUGCUGAGCUGAACCUCGUGCCAGUAUUUGUGUGACUGUGUGAUACUGUGGGACUUCAGUCUCACUGCUGCAUUUCAGACCAGGAGACCCAGGAAAGAGAAAUGUGAAAGGCAGAUGGAUGCAUAGAGGAACUGAAAAAAAUGGACAAAGACCACAACAACAGUGUGCAUAAUGGCCAACCACAUCUUCAGUAAGAUUGACCAUCUUUACAACCUAAUCCAAAAUGACUUCCCUUAAAGAUAGGUAUUUCAGGGGAAUGGUGCUUUGCAUGAAAGAAGCAGUGCCUGGGGAAAGAAAAGAAACAAUGUAAAAUGAGGCUUGAACAAGAGGACUGUGCUUGAAUACAGCAUGACUGAAAACAGCUGUUGACGUGAGGUCUGAAACUGCCCUUCACCACUCAGUGCACUGGCUUCCAGUGAAGAGAGCAUAAAGGAGAGAUGGGGAACUUGGCUGUAGCCUCACUGCCUUUUAUUUGACAUAGAAAGCGAACAUGGGACAAGAGUAUUAGCAUGAGGAUAACUGAACAAAUGGUA